rnacentral:rRNA from 1 species
AUGGCAUAAGCCAGCUUGACUGCGAGCGUGACGGCGCGAGCAGGUGCGAAAGCAGGUCAUAGUGAUCCGGUGGUUCUGAAUGGAAGGGCCAUCGCUCAACGGAUAAAAGGUACUCCGGGGAUAACAGGCUGAUACCGCCCAAGAGUUCAUAUCGACGGCGGUGUUUGGCACCUCGAUGUCGGCUCAUCACAUCCUGGGGCUGAAGUAGGUCCCAAGGGUAUGGCUGUUCGCCAUUUAAAGUGGUACGCGAGCUGGGUUUAGAACGUCGUGAGACAGUUCGGUCCCUAUCUGCCGUGGGCGCUGGAGAACUGAGGGGGGCUGCUCCUAGUACGAGAGGACCGGAGUGGACGCAUCACUGGUGUUCGGGUUGUCAUGCCAAUGGCACUGCCCGGUAGCUAAAUGCGGAAGAGAUAAGUGCUGAAAGCAUCUAAGCACGAAACUUGCCCCGAGAUGAGUUCUCCCUGACUCCUUGAGAGUCCUGAAGGAACGUUGAAGACGACGACGUUGAUAGGCCGGGUGUGUAAGCGCAGCGAUGCGUUGAGCUAACCGGUACUAAUGAACCGUGAGGCUUAACCUUACAACGCCGAAGGUGUUU